CGAGUAAGCCGAGCAGCCGCGGGAGAAACGCCGAAAGGCUUCUCCUGAGGAAAGUCCGGGCUCCAUAGGGCAAGGAUAGCGGGUAACGCCCGCCGAAGGCGACUUCAGGACGAGUGCAACAGAGAUAUACCGCCGGAAGGUUCUCUUCCGGUAAGGGUGGAAAAGUGAGGUAAGAGCUCACUCGGCGGCUGGAGACAGCCCGUCGCUGUAAACUCUAUCCGGAGCAACACCGUGGAAGAGCAUAAAGGCCUGCCCGGCCGCUCUGAGGAGGUGGCUUGAGCCCAUUGGCAACAAUGGGCCUAGAUAGAUGGCUGCUUUGAACAGAAUCCGGCUUACAGGCUUGCUCGCACC
rnacentral:RNase_P_RNA from 1 species